rnacentral:rRNA from 1 species
UACGUAGGUGACUAGCGUUGUCCGGAUUUACUGGGCGUAAAGAGCGCGCAGGCGGUCGUUCAAGUCGAGUGUGAAAGCCCCCGGCUCAACUGGGGAGGGUCAUUCGAUACUGAUCGACUCGAAGGCAGGAGAGGGAAGCGGAAUUCCCGGUGUAGUGGUGAAAUGCGUAGAUAUCGGGAGGAACACCAGUGGCGAAGGCGGCUUCCU